rnacentral:rRNA from 1 species
CAAUUAAGUCAAAUGUGAAAUCCCCGAGCUUAACUUGGGAAUUGCAUUCGAUACUGGUUGGCUAGAGUAUGGGAGAGGAUGGUAGAAUUCCAGGUGUAGCGGUGAAAUGCGUAGAGAUCUGGAGGAAUACCGAUGGCGAAGGCAGCCAUCUGGCCUAAUACUGACACUGAGGUACGAAAGCAUGGGGAGCAAACAGGACUAGAUACCCUGGUAGUCCAUGCCGUAAACGAUGUCUACUAGCCGUUGGGGUCUUUGAGACUUUAGUGGCGCAGCUAACGCGAUAAGUAGACCGCCUGGGGAGUACGGUCGCAAGACUAAAACUCAAAUGAAUUGACGGAGGCCCGCACAAGCGGUGGAGCAUGUGGUUUAAUUCGAUGCAACGCGAAGAACCUUACCUGGUCUUGACAUAGUAAGAACUUUCCAGAGAUGGAUUGGUGCCUUCGGGAGCUUACAUACAGGUGCUGCAUGGCUGUCGUCAGCUCGUGUCGUGAGAUGUUGGGUUAAGUCCCGCAACGAGCGCAACCCUUUUCCUUAUUUGCCAGCGGGUUAAGCCGGGAACUUUAAGGAUACUGCCAGUGACAAGCUGGAGGAAGGCGGGGACGACGUCAAGUCAUCAUGGCCCUUACGACCAGGGCUACACACGUGCUACAAUGGUCGGUACAAAGGGUUGCUACCUAGCGAUAGGAUGCUAAUCUCAAAAAGCCGAUCGUAGUCCGGAUUGGAGUCCGCAACUCGACUCCAUGAAG